CCCGCUUUGGGCUUGCUGGGAUCUUUCUCUUUUUAUUUCUCUACACGGCAUUAACAACAGGAGAUGUACAUAGCCUCUUCCACUGCACGAGAUUCCAUGGCAGUGGAACUGAGUUUGCUUAAUACUCUGACAGGAGUCAUUUAGACACAGUAGAAUAGAUGUAACUUCCAAACCUGCUAGGUAUCCGAAAUGCUAGUUCGCGUUCUCUAAAAUCUUAGAAUGAAUUCUAGGGACAACGGAGGUUAACGUAGGGAGAAUUUAUUGAGGGAGAGAGAGCUCCUGUCUGAGAGGGACAGGAAGGGACACCCGGAAAGUGGGUUACCCACUCACCCUGCUUCUAAGAGGUGUCUCAUGGGACAAAGCCACAAGGUGAGGUGGGUUCAAGAAGGGACAAAACUAAGUCAUAUUACAAGUACAAUCACUUAGGUAAUAUUGGCCCAAUGAAAAAUCACAAGGUGGACAUGAGAGGGGACAAAAUUAUGAUCAACCAAUAGGAUUCCAACAAGUGCAGUCGCUUAGGACCUAUUGAUUAAACGGGGAUCCGAUGGGGAAGCAAGUCACAUAGAAAGCAUACAAGGAAUGAACAAGGAUUUCAGUACCAGGGAUCAAACUCAGGACCUUGUACUUUCCAGGCAGGCGGGGCACCACUGAGCUAAAUCCUCCACCCCUUUACCAGCUUUUCUGAGACACUUUAGGAAAAACAGCUGCAGGACCUCGCAUAGCCACAUGGAUCUGGGCGUUGUUUACCUCUUCUACCACGAUCAGACUCCAGUCACAAACUCAUUGAACAGUUCUAGACAAAGGGAAAGCAGAGGUACCUGACUGAUUGUUGCCAGUACUGGGUGUGAAAACGCCGGAAAGGAGGUGGAUUUUGCAGGUUUCUCCCAGUAAGGAACACCCUAUGAGACGAAUGGAUAUAUCCAACUUGAAUUAUAUAAAAAAAAGAUCUCCUAAUGG